GCUUGGUGAAGGGAUGAUGUGAG
rnacentral:siRNA from 1 species